GGUGCGGCUGCUGCCCUCCGGGGUGCCCCCGGCACCCCCCCCACCUCAAGCCCGCGGCAGGCAGGCGCGGGAAUUUGUGCGUGCAGGCUGUAACAGACAUGCUGUGCGAUGCGUGGUGCUCUAUUGAGUUCUAAUGCUGGAUGCUGCCAUGAAGAAGUCAGAGGCCAGCCUGAUAUGCCCCCACUUGCUCCAUGUAAGGUGCUGGGGACAGAGAGGUGAACGAGAACGAGACAUUCAAGACAUCUGCCCCAUGGAGUGUACGUUCCAGGUGGGGGAAAUAGACAAAAAAGAAGCUGUACUGAAUAUUUGCUCUUCGCCCAAUGACCUUUAAAAUUUCUUUCUACAUUUUGAUUAUUCCGGAUAUCUUGAGUUCCUCCUUCCCAAAGCAGAAGCCUGCCUCUCUUGAAGCGAAGGUGCAGGCAUGUGACCUACUUCCCUCCAAUCGCACUCACCGAUCGAUCUGAGAUACCAAUGGUGGGGCGUGGGGGGGGGCAGUGAGCUCUGUGUGGGGCCAGCUGCAUGCUAGCCUGGG